rnacentral:lncRNA from 1 species
CCCCGCCACAUGCGCGCUGCGGGCCCCGUUUUCCACUCUCGCGGGGAGUUUUUGUUUCGUGAGCGGAAGUUCUGGGUUAAACCUGGUGAUUCGAAGUCUGACUGCCCUCCUGCCUGGUGCUAUCUCAGUCGUAGCAUCUUCACUGUAUUCUCCCUUCCGCCCCAGCAUCCCCAGUCGGCUCGGCGCGCGGCCGGAUUCCAGGCGUCAUGGCUCCUCGCUGGAGGAAGCGGAAGGCCGAGGCCGCUGCGGUCUCCACGUCGGAGAAGCGGGAGAAACUGGAGAACGGCAAGGAACAAGUAGAGGAGGCGGUCGUCAUUGAGCAUUGGUGAGCGCCCUGGGAGGCGCGGGCGGCGGCGGGAAGAAUGGCUGGCGUUGCAGCGGGGCCGCAGUCUGAUCUCCCCGUCUCUCCCUAGCACUAGCUGACGCGUCUACGGGCGCAACGCCGCGGCCCUGAGCCAGGCGCUGCGCCUGGAGGCUCCGGAGCUUCCCGUGAAAGUAAAUCCUUCCAAGCCCCGGAGGGGCAGCUUCGAGGUGACCCUGCUGCGCCAGGACGGCAGCAGUGAGUGCGGGCCGGAGCCUGGGGGGAGAGGGGCCUGGGUCUAAAGCUAAGAAGCACUAGUUUUGGAAACCGCGGCCAGCUGUUGACUUUAGAGAUGCUCUUGGAUUCCAAAGUAAUUUCGAUUUAUUCCCAGGUGCCGAGCUCUGGACCGGGAUUAAGAAGGGACCCCCACGCAAACUCAAAUUCCCCGAACCUCAAGAAGUGGUGGAAGAGUUGAAGAAGUACCUUUCGUAGGCGAUUUGGGCAGAAGUCCUCAUGCUGAGGUUUGAAAUGGAGAGGGAAUUAAUCUUGGGUAGCUUCUUGCAAAGGAGCCCAUACUGUUAUAAUUUAUUCCACACAGGAUCUAAAAGAGUGGUUUCCUACAGGGUGUGCCUUUUGCAAACCGUUUUCAUUUUCAUUUGAGUCCCUUUAUGCCAUAUUAUAGAACACUAAUGGUAACAUUAAUGAUUCUUUAUAGAAGCGUAAUUUGUAUACUUCCGGUUGAUUGUGGCCCUGGGGGUAUGAUCCAGUGUUGCUUUUGUUUGAAAAUUUAUUUCCUCAUUCCUGGUGGCUAUUUUAAUUCUUUGAACCAGUUUUAAAUCUUACUGCUUCCCAGAGUUAAAAUUUUUAACAUGUUUUUAUGUGGGUUAAUGAUUUUCCAUCUUUACUGGCACAUUACUGUACCUGCCCCUACACUUUUCUAGGGUUAUUUUGCCC